rnacentral:tRNA from 2 species
GCCCCUGUCGUCUAGCCCGGCCUAGGACAUCGCCCUUUCAAGGCGGCAACACGGGUUCGAAUCCCGUCGGGGGCGCUA